UGACCUCAGGUGAUCUGCCUGCCUCAGUCUCCCAAAGUGCUUGGAUUAUGGGUGUGAGCCACUGCACCCGGCCAGUGUUCAGCUUUUCUUUAUUGUCCACUGAAAGCUCAUUAUUGUGAUAUAAUCAAUUAUGUUCAAAGUGAUUUCAGCAAAUCAGAGGUGAGGUGACGAUCCUGUGACCUAUUUUUAACCACAGUGCAUCCCUUCAUUCUGUUUUCUUUCCCCCUUUGGCACUAUUCAUCCAGCACUCCUGUAACUUCACUGGCAUAUUAUAUCCUGGGGACAACAUAUUCACUGUCUUCCCUUAGGUCAUUUCAGCUUUUCGUCCAAUGGUGCUUAGAGACUAAUCCUUUGAAUACUUGGUUCUAAUCCCAUCUGUCAAUUAGCUUUGUAGCAUCCAGCAGUUUGUAGCAUCUUUCUGGGCCUUAGCUUUUGCUUUAUUAAUUGAAAGGAUGAGGCUUCCAAUUUUACAUUUUACAAUUCUAGAAGAUGAGCAGAAAAAUAACUUCUGACCUGGUUUACAAAAGUUUGCCCAUGUACUAUGUUAGAUCUUGGAGAGUUUCUCCUGGGCUCCCUGUGAACUGCUCCACUGGUGCACAAGAAGCCAAAGGGGCAAAGCUCAGGACAGUGUCUCCCUGGCAAGGGCAAUUACAUUGGCAUGAUUGUCUAGCAUAACUUGUCAUGCAGACCCCUUUUCAAGAUAGCAGAUUCCUUCACUGGCAAUGUGGCAGUGUUUCCCUUCAUCAAUGGAAGACAUGGAAUGUGUUCUAGGGGAAUUUAUAGCACUCGACAUGCGUAUGAAGGAAAUGCAGCUAUCAAUUAAUAGCAGCAUUUCCUUCAUUGCAAUGCUGCUAACAAGAGGAAAAUAUGUGUCUGGUAGUUUCAGGGCAUAGGGCAGGGUAAAGGUUGAAGAGGAAGCUUGGAUAGCUUGACACAGGGCAGGCAGGAGAAGGCUCUGGCAGAGGCCUGGCCCCCUUGUAUAGAAGAAGCUGGAAUGAGUCCUUGCUUCUCAGCGGCUGGAACUGGACCAGACUUCAAGAGAAGUGCAGCUGCAGGACCCAGGGGAGGAACUGGGAUCUGCGGUGUCCCCUGCUGUCCUGGAAGAUCAGGGUGUCUGGGGUUUCUGUCUGUGGUGUUGAGGAGUGGCUGGUUGAGGGCCCUGGAAGGAACAGGACCCUGUCUCUAGCAAGGAGAUAGAAGGUGGACAGGAUUCUCGAAAAGCGAGAAAUGAAAAAGAGGAAAUUAACCCAGUAUCUGGUUAAUUUUUCUGAGUUUUUUGGUUUGUUUUCAUUUCUGUUACAGUGUUAGCUACACUGUAAGUCAGGUUUCCUGGGAAAUAGACUCCUAAGACAGA